rnacentral:rRNA from 1 species
GACGAACGCUGGCGGCGUGCCUAAUACAUGCAAGUAGGACGCAGUUGCGAACGGGAGAGCAACGCGUAGGUAACUACCUAUUAGAGGGGGGUAAAUACUGGAAACGAUAGCUAAUACCGCAUACUAGUAGAAGGACCUGCGUUGUAUUAGGUAGUAGGUAGGGUAAUGGUCUACCUAGGGCACGUGACAUAGACGGCCUGAGAGGGUGGACGGCCCAACUGGGACUUGGACACGGCCCAGACUCCUUCGGGAGGCAGCAGGAGGGAAUCUUCGGCAAUGGGGGGAAACCUGACCGAGCAACGCCGCGGGAGUGAAGAAGGGUUUCGGAUCGUAAAGCUCUGUUGUUAGGGAAGCGGUACUGAACCAGAAAGAGACGGCUAACUACGUGCCAGCAGCCGCGGUAAUAC